rnacentral:rRNA from 1 species
AGUGAACGCUGGCGGUAGGCCUAACACAUGCAAGUCGAACGGCAGCACAGUAAGAGCUUGCUCUUACGGGUGGCGAGUGGCGGACGGGUGAGGAAUACAUCGGAAUCUACUUUUUCGUGGGGGAUAACGUAGGGAAACUUACGCUAAUACCGCAUACGACCUACGGGUGAAAGCAGGGGAUCUUCGGACCUUGCGCGAUUGAAUGAGCCGAUGUCGGAUUAGCUAGUUGGCGGGGUAAGGCCCACCAAGGCGACGAUCCGUAGCUGGUCUGAGAGGAUGAUCAGCCACACUGGAACUGAGACACGGUCCAGACUCCUACGGGAGGCAGCAGUGGGGAAUAUUGGACAAUGGGCGCAAGCCUGAUCCAGCCAUACCGCGUGGGUGAAGAAGGCCCUCGGGUUGUAAAGCCCUUUUGUUGGGAAAGAAAAGCAGCAGGUUAAUACCCCGCUGUUCUGACGGUACCCAAAGAAUAAGCACCGGCUAACUUCGUG